CCCUACGGGGUGCAGCAGGCGCGAACACUUUACAAUGCGGGAAACCGCGAUAAGGGAACCCCGAGUGCCAGUACUAAGUGCUGGCUGUCUGGAUGAAUAGAUAUCAUUUAAUAGCAAGGGCCGGGCAAGACCGGUGCCAGCCGCCGCGGUAACACCGGCGGCCCGAGUGGUAACCGAUAUUAUUGGGUCUAAAGGGUCCGUAGCCUGUUUAAUAAGUCCUUUGGGAAAUCUGGCAGCUUAACUGUCAGGCUGCUAAAGGAUACUGUUAAACUUGGGACCGGUAGACGUAGGGGGUACUCCAGGGGUAGGAGUGAAAUCUUGUAAUCCCUGGGGGACCAUCUGUGGCGAAGGCGCCCUACGAGAACGGGUCCGACGGUGAGGGACGAAAGCUAGGGGAGCAAACCGGAUUAGAUACCCGGGUAGUCCUAGCUGUAAACGAUGCUCGCUAGGUGUCAGGCACGGUGCGUCCGUGUCUGGUGCCGCAGGGAAGCCGUUAAGCGAGCCACCUGGGGAGUACGGUCGCAAGGCUGAAACUUAAAGGAAUUGGCGGGGGAGCAC
rnacentral:rRNA from 1 species